rnacentral:sRNA from 1 species
AAAAAAAGAGAGAAAAUUUUG